rnacentral:misc_RNA from 1 species
GAUGAAGAACGUAGCGAAAUGCGAUAAGUAAUGUGAAUUACAGAAUUCAGUGAAUCAUCGAAUCUUUGAACGCACAUUGCGCCCCUCGGUAUUCCGAGGGGCAUGCCUGUUCGAGCGUCAUUAUAACCCUUCAAGCUCAGCUUGGUGUUGGGGCCUGCUGUAACUGGUAGCCCUUAAAAUCAGUGGCAGUGCUAUUAGGCUCUAAGCGUAGUAAUUCUUCUCGCUAUAGUGUGUAGUGAGCGCUUGCCAGAACCCCAAACUUUUAUAUGAUUGACCUCGGAUCAGGUAGGGAUACCCGCUGAACUUAAGCAUAUCAAUAAGCGGAGGA